UACGGAGGGGGCUAGCGUUGUUCGGAAUUACUGGGCGUAAAGCGUGCGCAGGCGGCUUUCCAAGUCAGUGGUGAAAGCCCGGAGCUCAACUCCGGAAAUGCCAUUGAAACUGUGAAGCUUGAGAACGAGAGAGGUGAGUGGAAUUCCCAGUGUAGAGGUGAAAUUCGUAGAUAUUGGGAAGAACACCAGUGGCGAAGGCGGCUCACUGGCUCGUAACUGACGCUCAUGCACGACAGCGUGGGGAUCAAACAGG
rnacentral:rRNA from 1 species